rnacentral:lncRNA from 1 species
UCAAGUGUGUGAUUAUUAGGGUGACCUAAUCCAAGUGCCGCAAAUAUUGUGAAGUAAAAGAAGAAUGAUUAUUACAAGAGCUAGAACUAAUGUUUAUAGUGCAAACAGACGCAUUAUUUGGAAGAGGUAAAGACAAUGAAGACUUAGCCGAUUGGAGAGAGACACUGGGAAAGGUAUAGAGACCAUCAGGACCAACUUUGCCAUGCUGAAGAACUUCUUUAGUGGCCUGAGAUUUGACAACAAAGUGGUCAGAAUGAAACUCAAAAAAGACAGAAUUAUCUUUUGCAAAUUGACUAACACUAAUUAGAUUUUUGGUUAUGGAAGGAACAUGCAAAAGAUUAUUUAGCGUCAGUGUGAUUUGUGGUUUAAUAGGUGAUGAAA